rnacentral:tRNA from 1 species
GGCAUGGUGGCUAAGUGGUAAGGUGUUGGUCUUGUAAACCGAAGAUCAUGUGUUCAAAUCGCUUCUGUGCCU